rnacentral:rRNA from 1 species
UACAGAGGUCUCAAGCGUUGUUCGGAUUCAUUGGGCGUAAAGGGUGUGUAGGUGGCGCCGUAAGUCGGGUGUGAAAUUUCGGAGCUUAACUCCGAAACUGCAUUCGAUACUGCGGUGCUUGAGGACUGGAGAGGAGACUGGAAUUCAUGGUGUAGCAGUGAAAUGCGUAGAGAUCAUGAGGAAGACCAGUGGCGAAGGCGGGUCUCUGGACAGUUCCGUGACGCUGAGGAGCGAAAGCGUGGGGAGCGAACAGG